GUCUUUAGCAUGUUCUCUCAUAUUCUGCUUGGUCUUGUCUCUACCUGCUCAGACCCCACUCUCAUCAUUUCCCCCAAGCUUCUGAGUCCCAGGAAACUUUCCUGUUCUCUCCUCAUCCAAGGAUUUGCACAUGCCAAGUUCAUCUUUUCCUAUCAGUACUGGUUAGCUGUUUGUUAGUUAGUCAAUAUCUCAAAACACAAUCUGUUUAAACAAUAGACAUUGAUGACAUCUCAGACCUGUGGGUCAACUGAAUGGUUCCACUGCUCUGAGCCAGGGUUAGCCCAUUUCAGCUGGACUUGCUCACUUAACAGGGCAGCUGCAGCCUGGCUGGAGUUAGAUGCCCUCACUCAUGUCUGGCAGUCACAUGGCUGUUAGCUAAAGUGUCAGGAGAACUAGACUAUGUGUCUCAUCCAUCAGCCUAGCCCAGCUUAUUAAUAUAUCAGGGCCAAGAUUUUCGGGGAAUGAAUGGUCAUGUCCAAAACCUCUUCAAGCUAAGUUCAGCUUUGACUCAAUAUCACUUCUCCAUUCUAUUAGCUAAAAUAAGUCAUAAAGCCAGCCCAGAUAGAGUCAUGAAAUACAUUCUCCAGAUGGGAGAAGUUGCCAAGUGACCUUGUAAAGGGACAGAAAUAAUUGGGACAAUUUUUGCAAUCAAUCUACUAUAUUAUCUUUUAGAUAUUGGCUUAAGAUAAGACUCCUCAGGGAAGCCUUCCACAAGCUUCCUGCCUAGAUAAAAUCACACUAUUAUGGGCUCACUCUGCAAACCUCUUCU
rnacentral:lncRNA from 1 species